GAUGAACGCUGGCGGCGUGCCUAAUACAUGCAAGUCGAGCGAACGGACGAGAAGCUUGCUUUUCUGAUGUUAGCGGCGGACGGGUGAGUAACACGUGGAUAACCUACCUAUAAGACUGGGAUAACUUCGGGAAACCGGAGCUAAUACCGGAUAAUAUUUUGAACCGCAUGGUUCAAAAGUGAAAGACGGUCUUGCUGUCACUUAUAGAUGGAUCCGCGCUGCAUUAGCUAGUUGGUAAGGUAACGGCUUACCAAGGCAACGAUGCAUAGCCGACCUGAGAGGGUGAUCGGCCACACUGGAACUGAGACACGGUCCAGACUCCUACGGGAGGCAGCAGUAGGGAAUCUUCCGCAAUGGGCGAAAGCCUGACGGAGCAACGCCGCGUGAGUGAUGAAGGUCUUCGGAUCGUAAAACUCUGUUAUUAGGGAAGAACAUAUGUGUAAGUAACUGUGCACAUCUUGACGGUACCUAAUCAGAAAGCCACGGCUAACUACGUGCCAGCAGCCGCGGUAAUACGUAGGUGGCAAGCGUUAUCCGGAAUUAUUGGGCGUAAGCGCGCGUAGCGGUUUUUUAGUCUGAUGUGAAAGCCCACGGCUCAACCGUGGAGGGUCAUUGGAAACUGGAAAACUUGAGUGCAGAAGAGGAAAGUGGAAUUCCAUGUGUAGCGGUGAAAUGCGCAGAGAUAUGGAGGAACACCAGUGGCGAAGGCGACUUUCUGGUCUGUAACUGACGCUGAUGUGCGAAAGCGUGGGGAUCAAACAGGAUUAGAUACCCUGGUAGUCCACGCCGUAAACGAUGAGUGCUAAGUGUUAGGGGGUUUCCGCCCCUUAGUGCUGCAGCUAACGCAUUAAGCACUCCGCCUGGGGAGUACGACCGCAAGGUUGAAACUCAAAGGAAUUGACGGGGACCCGCACAAGCGGUGGAGCAUGUGGUUUAAUUCGAAGCAACGCGAAGAACCUUACCAAAUCUUGACAUCCUUUGACAACUCUAGAGAUAGAGCCUUCCCCUUCGGGGGACAAAGUGACAGGUGGUGCAUGGUUGUCGUCAGCUCGUGUCGUGAGAUGUUGGGUUAAGUCCCGCAACGAGCGCAACCCUUAAGCUUAGUUGCCAUCAUUAAGUUGGGCACUCUAAGUUGACUGCCGGUGACAAACCGGAGGAAGGUGGGGAUGACGUCAAAUCAUCAUGCCCCUUAUGAUUUGGGCUACACACGUGCUACAAUGGACAAUACAAAGGGCAGCGAAACCGCGAGGUCAAGCAAAUCCCAUAAAGUUGUUCUCAGUUCGGAUUGUAGUCUGCAACUCGACUACAUGAAGCUGGAAUCGCUAGUAAUCGUAGAUCAGCAUGCUACGGUGAAUACGUUCCCGGGUCU
rnacentral:rRNA from 1 species